rnacentral:tRNA from 1 species
GCGGGAGUGACGCAGCGGUAGCGUGCCUGCCUUCCAAGCAGGUUGUCGCGGGUUCGAGUCCCGUCUCCCGCUCCA